GACGGUGGCAUGGUCCUCAGCCGGGCUGAGGCCGAUGGGUUCAGCGCCCCCUGGCGCCCAUUUCCGGAACUUGCAUUUGUGGCAUGUUUUUUAGGCGCUAGCAAUCUUCGUGGUCAUUUAUCUCUACAUUCAUUUGCAACAGUUUAUAUCAAACAUCUCCUCUCUUAGAUUAUUUUCCUUGUUUUUUUCUUCUUUCGCUGUGCCAGGGAUCAAAACCACCGCUUCAUCUAUGCUAAGCAAGUCCUCCACCACUAAGCUAAAUCUAAGCCUUGUCCUCUUCAAGAACAUCUCUCAGGCACCAGACAAGAUCCACUGUCAGUGGCCCUUUAUGGCUCCUAUCACACAGUAGACGUUCUGUCUUGACAUGGAAAGAUCUAGCUGCUCCUGUAUCCAGAUAUGAAGAAAAUGCAGCAGAAAACUUCAAUUGGGUUCUAUCCCUUCCACAUGGAUGGCCAGGCUACGAGCUGCUUCUUCAAGAAAACCCUGGGGUUUCUUGAUCUCCAAUCAAGAACUGAAAAAAACUUACUUGUGGCUCAUGUGGAGCUGGUGAAAAGGAGGGAAGCAGGGAUUGGAGGGUAGAAAGCAAGGAGGUUCUAGGAUUAGGAGUACACACCAGGACACCUGGCUCACAGACUCUUCCAAUCCUUACCACUAAGAAACCCAGUGUUCAGAAGGCUGCUGUUCUGAAAUGGAUCCCCAGGUCCAGUGAUUCACAGGAAACCAUCUCUCAUCGCCCAAGUGCAGAGUCACCCUCCUCACAGGAAACUCAGAACUCAUGGAAAAAAGUCAAAUAAUCUACUAUACACUUUUUCUUUUUUUGAGAAACAGAAUAGAUUCUGUUGAUUUUUAUUUUCAGUUGGAUCA